rnacentral:ncRNA from 1 species
GUUCAAAAGAGGAAAGGCUUGCGGUGGAUACCUAGCCACCCAGAGACGAGGAAGGGCGUAGCAAGCGACGAAAUGCUUCGGGGAGUUGAAAAUAAGCAUAGAUC